rnacentral:rRNA from 1 species
GACGAACGCUGGCGGCGUGCUUAACACAUGCAAGUCGAACGGAAAGGCCCUGCUUUUGUGGGGUGCUCGAGUGGCGAACGGGUGAGUAACACGUGAGUAACCUGCCCUUGACUUUGGGAUAACUUCAGGAAACUGGGACUAAUACCGGAUAGGAGCUCCUGCUGCAUGGUGGGGGUUGGAAAGUUUCGGCGGUUGGGGAUGGACUCGCGGCUUAUCAGCUUGUUGGUGGGGUAGUGGCUUACCAAGGCUUUGACGGGUAGCCGGCCUGAGAGGGUGACCGGCCACAUUGGGACUGAGAUACGGCCCAGACUCCUACGGGAGGCAGCAGUGGGGAAUAUUGCACAAUGGGCGGAAGCCUGAUGCAGCAACGCCGCGGGCGGGAUGACGGCCUUCGGGUUGUAAACCGCUUUCGCCUGUGGCGAAGCGUGAGUGACGGUAAUGGGUAAAGAAGCACCGGCUAACUACGUGC